CAUCGAUGCAUCGAUAAUACAAAAUAUGUAUUCGCUUUUACUAUGGAAGUAUAUGUAAAAUUCAAAACCUCAAAUCCGUUUUUCUCGAGUAUAGUUUUUUUGAGUUAUGACACUAUUGAAGUA